rnacentral:snoRNA from 11 species
GCUGUGAUGAAACUCAAUAUAUGCCUUCUGACAUUACUUCCGUGUAGAAAACCAGAGGCUGUUUCUGAGCUU